rnacentral:rRNA from 1 species
GACGAACGCUGGCGGCGUGCCUAAUACAUGCAAGUAGGACGCACAGUCUAUACCGUAGCUUGCUACACCAUAGGCUGUGAGUUGCGAACGGGUGAGUAACGCGUAGGUAACCUGCCUAUUAGAGGGGGAUAACUAUUGGAAACGAUAGCUAAUACCGCAUAACAGUAUGUAACACAUGUUAGAUGCUUGAAAGAUGCAAUUGCAUCGCUAGUAGAUGGACCUGCGUUGUAUUAGCUAGUAGGUAGGGUAAUGGCCUACCUAGGCGACGAUACAUAGCCGACCGGAGAGGGUGAUCGGCCACACUGGGACUGAGACACGGCCCAGACUCCUACGGGAGGCAGCAGUAGGGAAUCUUCGGCAAUGGGGGGAACCCUGACCGAGCAACGCCGCGUGAGUGAAGAAGGUUGUCGGAUCGUAAAGCUCUGUUGUUAAGGAAGAACGAGUGUGAGAAUGGAAAGUUCAUACUGUGACGGUACUUAACCAGAAAGGGACGGCUAACUACGUG